GGUAUGGUGUGACCUCAGAGAAGAUGUCUACUUGGCAUGGUUAGAUAAUGAAUUUGAAUUUCAUGGGGAUCUUCAGUGUCUCAAAUUUAAGAAGUAAAUUUUAUAGUAAAUAUUAUGGGAAUCAAAAAGUGAGAUCUUUGACACAAUAAAGGAGAUUUAUUGUACCUUAUAUUUCACCAAUGUACGUAGGUUCCUUUCUUACUGCAAGAAAGGUCACUUGAAGAUCGAAUGUGCUUGUAUUUUUCUUAAUAUGUUAAUAAAGC
rnacentral:lncRNA from 1 species